GUCUCAGUCGCUAGCACAACUUUCUUUCAGUGCUGCGCCGGAAGCGGUUUGUGCUUGACGUUUCAAUGGACGCUGUGAGCAUGGCUUUUUACACUCACUGCUUGCAAGAUGUUCCAGGGAUUAUUGAAUGAACGAUGUUAAUCGCAUUAUGAGGGUCAGGGACUACUGGCGCUCACACCUGCAGAAGCAUUGGCACUAGCCAAUCUAAAGAACAUUCACAUCUAAAGAACAUUAAGACCAACCUACGAUCACGUUUAACGGAUGGAAGUCUCAACGCCUGCAUGAAGCUUAACCUCACCACGUAUCAACCAGACUACAAAGCCAUCAGCAAAACCAUGCAGCACCAGAAGUUGCAUUAAUGGUCUGCAACAAUUAUUGGCACCCUUUUAGUCAAUGCUUUGGGCUACCUCCCUUUGCCAAGAUAUCAGCUCUGUCUUCUCCUAUAAUGCCUGAUGAGGUUGGAGAAUACAUGGCAGGGGAUCUGCGACCAUUCCUCCAUACAGAAUCUCUCCAGAUCCUUCAAAUUUCAAGGUACAUGCUGGUGGACUCUCCUCUUAAGUUCACCCCACAGGUUUUCUAUGGGUUUCAAGUCAUGGGACAUAUAUAAAUAUAUAUAAAUAACAAUCUCAGUUCUGAUUGCUAGUUAAUUGAAAUGACAGAAAUGUUGGUAUAAAAAUUAUACUGAUAUUGUUACCAAAUGAUACAGAUUCAUUGUUAUCAAUUCCCCUUUCUUUAUCAAAUUAAUUAAUAAUUUAUCUAUCUUAGGACUUGGUACUCUUGUUGAGAAUAAUCAACUUUUAUUUAAAUGUUAAAAAUCUGUGUUAUUCUAAAGCAAAUAUAUACAUUAAUAUGUAUAUUUUCUUAAAACAGCCAGAGAUAAACAAUUUGACAGCAAUUUGUACAUCAACAAUAUUCGUUUAUAUGUAGAUUUAAUAGUUCUUAAUGCCCAUGUGACAUGAUGUGACAUAUAAGUCAAAAUCAGCCAAGUAAAGCAGUAAGUGGAGUCUUGCUUGGAAAUGUACUUAUGAAUGAAACCUUUUAAAAAAAAAAUAAUAAAUGAAUUGACAAUG